rnacentral:rRNA from 1 species
UACGAAGGGAGCUAGCGUUGCUCGGAAUCACUGGGCGUAAAGCGCACGUAGGCGGACUCUUAAGUCGGUGGUGAAAUCCUGGAGCUCAACUCCAGAACUGCCUUCGAUACUGGGAGUCUCGAGUUCGGGAGAGGUGAGUGGAACUGCGAGUGUAGAGGUGAAAUUCGUAGAUAUUCGCAAGAACACCAGUGGCGAAGGCGGCUCACUGGCCCGAUACUGACGCUGAGGUGCGAAAGCGUGGGGAGCAAACAGG